CGGGUGAGUAACGCGUAUGCAACCUACCUAUCAGGAGGGGAAUAACCCGGCGAAAGUCGGACUAAUACCGCAUAAAACAGGGGCACCGCAUGGUGAUAUUGUUAAGGAAAUUCGCUGAUAGAUGGGCAUGCGUUCCAUUAGGUAGUUGGUGAGGUAACGGCUCACCAAGCCGACGAUGGAUAGGGGAACUGAGAGGUUGGUCCCCCACACUGGUACUGAGACACGGACCAGACUCCUACGGGAGGCAGCAGUGAGGAAUAUUGGUCAAUGGGCGGGAGCCUGAACCAGCCAAGUCGCGUGAAAAGGAAGAAGGAUCUAUGGUUCGUAAACUUCUUUUGCAGGGGAAUAAAGUGCGGGACGUGUCCUGUUUUGUAUGUACCCUGAGAAUAAGGAUCGGCUAACUCCGUGCCAGCAGCAGC
rnacentral:rRNA from 1 species